rnacentral:rRNA from 1 species
GAUGAACGCUAGCGGCAGGCUUAACACAUGCAAGUCGAGGGGCAUCGGGAGGGAAGCUUGCUUUCCUUGCCGGCGACCGGCGCACGGGUGAGUAACACGUAUGCAACCUGCCCUCUUCAGGGGGACAACCUUCCGAAAGGGAGGCUAAUCCCGCGUAUAUCGGUUUCGGGCAUCCGAGAUCGAGGAAAGAUUCAUCGGAAGAGGAUGGGCAUGCGGCGCAUUAGCUUGACGGCGGGGUAACGGCCCACCGUGGCGACGAUGCGUAGGGGUUCUGAGAGGAAGGUCCCCCACACUGGUACUGAGACACGGACCAG